CCUACGGGAGGCUGCAGUGGGGGAUAUUGCACAAUGGGGGGAACCCUGAUGCAGCGACGCCGCGUGGGUGAAGGAGUGCUUCGGCAUGUAAAGCCCUAUCGGCAGGGAAGAAGCAAGAUGGUACCUGACUAAGAAGCCCCGGCUAACUACGUGCCAGCAGCCGCGGUAAUACGUAGGGGGCGAGCGUGAUCCGGAUUCACUGGGGUUAACGGGAGCGUAGGCGGUCAUGCAAGCCAGGGGUGAAAGCCCGGGGCCCAACCCCGAGAUUGCCGUUGAAACUGGAUGGCUGGAGUGCGGGAGGGGCAGGCGGAAUGCCUGGUGUAGCGGUGAAAUGCGUAGAUAUCAGGAGGAACACCGGCGGCGAAGGCGGCCUGCUGGACCGCGACUGACGUUGAGGCUCGAAAGCGUGGGGAGCGAACAGGAUUAGAUACCCGGGUAGUC
rnacentral:rRNA from 1 species